rnacentral:tRNA from 1 species
GCCCUCAUAGCUCAGUGGUAGAGCGCGUCCUUGGUAAGGACGAGGUCUCGAGUUCGAGUCUCGAUGAGGGCUCCA